ACUCCUACGGGAGGCAGCAGUGGGGAAUAUUGCACAAUGGGCGCAAGCCUGAUGCAGCCAUGCCGCGUGUAUGAAGAAGGCCUUCGGGUUGUAAAGUACUUUCAGCAGUGAGGAAGGUGGGUAUGUUAAUAGCAUACUCAUUUGACGUUAGCUGCAGAAGAAGCACCGGCUAACUCCGUGCCAGCAGCCGCGGUAAUACGGAGGGUGCGAGCGUUAAUCGGAAUUACUGGGCGUAAAGCGCAUGCAGGUGGUUUGUUAAGUCAGAUGUGAAAGCCCGGGGCUCAACCUCGGAAUUGCAUUUGAAACUGGCAAACUAGAGUACUGUAGAGGGGGGUAGAAUUUCAGGUGUAGCGGUGAAAUGCGUAGAGAUCUGAAGGAAUACCGGUGGCGAAGGCGGCCCCCCUGGACAGAUACUGACACUCAGAUGCGAAAGCGUGGGGAGCAAACAGGAUUAGAUACCCUGGUAGGCUCU
rnacentral:rRNA from 1 species